rnacentral:rRNA from 1 species
UAAUACAGAGGGUGCGAGCGUUGUUCGGAAUUAUUGGGCGUAAAGGGCGCGUAUGCGGUGCGGUAAGUCACCUGUGAAAUCUCCUGGCUUAACUGGGAGUCUGCAGGCGAAACUACCGUGCUGGAGUGUGGGAGAGGUGCGUGGAAUUCCCGGUGUAGCGGUGAAAUGCGUANAUAUCGGGAGGAACACCUGUGGCGAAAGCGGCGCACUGGACCAUAACUGACGCUGAGGCGCGAAAGCUAGGGGAGCAAACAGGAUUAGAUACCCUGGUAGUCCUAGCCCUAAACGAUGAUUGCUUGGUGUAGCAGGUNCCCAAUCCUGCUGUGCCGCAGCUAACGCGAUAAGCAAUCCGCCUGNGGAGUNCGUCACAAGGCUGAAACUCANNAGAAUUGACGGGGGCCCGCACAAACGGUGGAACAUUUUGGUUCAAUUCCACGCCACGCGAAAAACCUACCUGGGCUCGAAAUGCAGAGACCGGGGUUGAAACAUCCCUUCCCCUUAAAA